UGGGUGGAAUAUUCCCAGACGUUACAGCAUUCCUGUGCAGCACACACAACAAGGUCAUUGUUUACUGCAGAACAACCUGUAACACUGCCUGGCCCGCACUCCAUAGAGACGCUCGCCAGCGACCCUGUUGCCAUGGCAACGCCCCCUGAUGUCUCCCUGCUCUCCGUUGCCGAGGCUGGAGCUGUCAUAGAGUGUGCUACUCUGGGGAGGAGCGAAGGGGGGCUGAGACAGAGUUUAGGAUGGACAGGUCAGGCGAGGCAUCCAGGGCAACAGUGAGGCUGUGGCUCCCCUUGUGCCACACAACAGCUGUACCCAAUGUGGUCUUUUUUUUUUUCCAGUGGCAGAAGCUCACGUUUCCUGAGGCGCUACCAGCCAAUAACCCCUCCUCCUCCCCCAGUCAGAAAAUUCCAAAUGGAGGCUAAAAACAACGAUACGGCAACUGUGUCAACAUGGACACCCUUCUCCCGGAAAACAUUUUUACGGCAACAGGCAAGGGGCGAGCGCAAACACUCAUUUAAAGUCACCUGGCAGCUGUAGCUCACACGUGGCCAGCAGCGCCCGGCCAGAGUCAGCACAUCCUCCAAUCCUGCUACCCUGGCAUUUUCAGGAGAACCCUAGCAGGCUGGGAGCCUGCCUCAUAAACCCAAGGGAGAGAGGGAGGGAAGGAGGGAGAGAGUGCUGUGCUGACCUGACUGGUUUUAUCAGCUGGAAGUAGUAGGGCCACAGAUGCCCACUGCAACACUGAUAACCCCCCACAGCCCUCCUAAACCCAAACAUGUCUGCAGCAUCCAUCUCUGAUCUUAUCUUUAGAGUAUUAGAGUUUUCUUAAGCUAGUAAUAAAAAAAGGAGUACUUCAAACCUUGUAGCUUCUUUAUUUCACAAUUAUGAUGGACAUUUUCUCUUUAUUAACUAAUAGGGCUGAGCUGCCAGCAUAUAAAAUGAUGUGAAUCAUGCAUAAAGUGCACAAAUAUCACCCACUGAGAACACUGUAUGCAUGCUAUAACGGGAGGCGCUGGAGAUCUAUUCAAAGAGGACUGGUGGUUAUUUCUGUCUAGCUGCAGUAAACGUAUG